rnacentral:tRNA from 5 species
GGGGUCGUAGCUCAGUGGGUAGAGCACCUGGCUGGCAGUCAGGGGGUCGCCGGUUCGAAUCCGGCCUUCUCCA